rnacentral:rRNA from 1 species
UACAGAGGUCCCAAGCGUUGUUCGGAUUCACUGGGCGUAAAGGGUGCGUAGGCGGUCGGGUAAGUCUGACGUGAAAUCUUCAAGCUCAACUUGGAAACUGCGUCGGAUACUAUUCGGCUAGAGGAAUGGAGGGGAGACUGGAAUACUUGGUGUAGCAGUGAAAUGCGUAGAUAUCAAGUGGAACACCAGUGGCGAAGGCGAGUCUCUGGACAUUUCCUGACGCUGAGGCACGAAAGCCAGGGGAGCAAAC